UCCCUUCUAGAUUGAGUUUUGUGUGCAGAGU
rnacentral:piRNA from 1 species